UGACUGUUUGGUUACUGCCUGUCCUUUACUGUCGUCUGUGUCUAAUUCUUAUCCCUAUUAAAUGCUUGUUAUAUACUAGAACCCUGGACCUCACAGGAGUUGGAGGAAGCACUCCUCGAUGGUCAUUCAGAGGCCUUACAGACUGUGAUUGGCAGUGAAAGGGACGAUGGAAAGCUCUAUGCAGGGAGCAGUCAAUGGCUCGAGAAGGAGGCAUGGGGCACUCUGUUCCGGGCCCCGACGGAUUCUUUAUUUUGCCGCAUGGCCACGAACGUUUUUUGGACGCCCGAGCAACUCAGGAGCCGCAGUGUGACGGGCACGCUUUCAAACAAGUCGCGUUCGAAGGCGGAGACCGAACCAAGGCCUGCAUUAUCCCCUGAGAAAGUGGCCUCACUAAAAGCUCUCUUCAGCAUAUACAUGGGCAGCGAUGUGCCUAAAGACGCCCAGAGCAAGAGGCUCAAGGACGUGCGCAAGCACCUUGCGCAGAAGCUGGGUGACAUGCGGCGCAAAUGAUCCUUCGUUCCGCCAGCACCCGCCACCCACCUGCAGCAGGUUGACGCCCGCGCCCUCCCUGAGCCAUCCCAACCAACUUAGCGUACUGCG